CGGCCUAACACAUGCAAGUCGCACGGUCAGCAAUGGCAGUGGCGGACGGGUGAGUAACACGUAGGAAUCUAUCCUGGGGUGGGGGACAACAGCGGGAAACUGCUGCUAAUACCGCAUAAUACCUGAGGGUCAAAGGCGCAAGUCGCCUUGGGAGGAGCCUGCGUCUGAUUAGCUUGUUGGUGGGGUAAAGGCCUACCAAGGCGACGAUCAGUAGCUGGUCUGAGAGGAUGAUCAGCCACAUUGGGACUGAGACACGGCCCAAACUCCUACGGGAGGCAGCAGUGGGGAAUAUUGGACAAUGGGGGAAACCCUGAUCCAGCAAUGCCGCGUGUGUGAAGAAGGUCUUCGGAUUGUAAAGCACUUUUGGCAGGGACGAUGAUGACGGUACCUGCAGAAUAAGCCCCGGCUAACUUCGUGCCAGCAGCCGCGGUAAUACGAAGGGGGCUAGCGUUGCUCGGAAUGACUGGGCGUAAAGGGCGCGUAGGCGGCGCGUACAGUCAGAAGUGAAAUUCCUGGGCUCAACCUGGGGACUGCUUUUGAUACGUGCGUGCUUGAGUGAGGAAGAGGGUUGUGGAAUUUCCAGUGUAGAGGUGAAAUUCGUAGAUAUUGGAAAGAACACCGGUGGCGAAGGCGGCAACCUGGUCCUUUACUGACGCUGAGGCGCGAAAAGCGUGGGGGAGCAAACAGGGAUUAGAUACCCCUGGUAGUCCACGCUGGUAAACGAUGUGUGCUGGGAUGUUGGGGAAACUUAGUUUUUUCAGUGUCCGUAGCUAACGCGGAUAAGCACACCGCCCUGGGGGAGUACGGCCCGCAAGGUUGGAAACUCAAAAGGAAAUUGACCGGGGGGCCCCGCACAAAGC
rnacentral:rRNA from 1 species